GACCUUUUAGCCUAGUGGUUAAGGGGGAGGUGAGAAACUUUGUUUCUCUUGAAAGUUCUGUGUUCAAGUCCAGGAAAGGGGG
rnacentral:tRNA from 1 species